rnacentral:tRNA from 1 species
AUUUAAAUAGUUUAAUAAAAAAAUAUAGGUUUGUGGGACCUGAGAUAUAGUAGUGGCUAUUUUAAAUC